UACGUAGGGGGCAAGCGUUGUCCGGAUUUAUUGGGCGUAAAGAGCGUGUAGGCGGCCUGACAGGUCUGCUGUGAAAGUCGGGGGCUCAACCCUCGAAUGCCGGUGGAUACUGUCGGGCUAGAGUGCGGAAGAGGAGAGUGGAAUUCCUGGUGUAGCGGUGAAAUGCGCAGAUAUCAGGAAGAACACCAAUGGCGAAAGCAGCUCUCUGGGACGGUACUGACGCUGAGACGCGAAAGCGUGGGGAGCGAACAGG
rnacentral:rRNA from 1 species